GGUACUCAUGUAAUGAUUGUUACUAGUGUAGUUGGUGCAUAGGGAUGGGUGACCCUGCAAAAAAGGGGCACAGCAAACUCUAUUUCAGGUACAAAUGGACCUUAUCUUUAGGCAAAUCCUUGAAAUUUUGGCAGGGGGGAAUCAGGUUUUCCUGUGAGUUUUUUGUUUUUGGCUUUUCAUAGACAUCUACAUGAAGUCUCUGCUUUAGAAUCUUAAAACUGUAGCUUCAGAGGCCGGGCACGGUGGCUCAUGCCUGUAAUCGCAGCACUUUGGGAGGCUAAGGCUGGAGGACCACUUGAGCUCAGGAGUUCGAGACCAGCCUGGCUAACAGGGCGAAAUCCUGUCUCUACUAAAAAUGCAAAAAUUAGCCAGACAUGGUGGCGGGCGCAUGUAAUCCCAGCUACUUGGGAGGCUGAGGGAGGAGAAUCACUUGAAUCCUGAAGGCAGAGAUUGCAGUGAGCCGAGAUGACACCACUGCAUGACGGAAUGAGACUCCAUCUCGAAACAAAAAACUGUAGCUUCAGGGAUUCACUUAAAUUAUCAUUUAUAGGCCAGGAGAGGUGUGGCUCAUGGCCUGUAAUCCAAGCACUCUAGAAGGCUGAGGCGGGUGGAUCAGUUGAGGCCAGGAUUUUGAGACCAGCCUGGGCAACAUGGCAAAACCCUGUUUCUACAAAAAAGAAUUCUCUGGGUGUUAUGAUACACGCCUGUAAAGACAGGGUCUCGGGCCAGGCGCAGUGGCUCACGCUUGUAAUCCCAGCACUUUGGGAGGCCGAGGCGGGCGGAUCACGAGGUCAGGAGAUCGAGACCAUCCUGGCUAACACGGUGAAACCCCGUCUCUACUAAAAAUACAAAAAAAUUAGCCGGGCGUGAUGGCGGGCGCCUGUAGUCCCAGCUACUCGGGAGGCUGAGGCAGGAGAAUGGCGUGAACCCGGGAGGCGGAGCUUGCAGUGAGCCGAGAUUGCGCCACUGCAUUCCAGCCUGGGAGACAGAGCGAGACUCCAUCUCAAAAAAAAAAAAAAAAAAAGACAGGGUCUCACUUUGUCACCUAUGUUGGAGCACAGUGGUGCCAUCAUAGCUCACUGAAGUCUUGACCUCCCAGGCUUAAGGGAGCCUCCCACCUCAGCCUUCCAAGUAGCUGGCACUAUAGGCAUGUGCCACCACACCUGGCUGAUUUUUGUAUUUUUAGUAGAGAUGGUGUUUCGCCACGUUGGCCAGGCUCGUCUUGACCUCCUGGACUCAAGCGAUCUUCCAGCUUCAGCCUCCCAGAGUGCUGGGAUUACAGGUGUGAGCCACUGUCCUGGACCAAUUUUUUUUAAAGAAGGAAAAAUAAAAUUAAUUCAGUUCUACUUAAAAAAAAAAAAAAAAAACGGUCAGGCACAGUGGCUUACGCCUGUAAUCACAGCACUUUGGGAGGCCGAGGCGGGCAGAUCACGAGGUCAGGAGAUCAAAACCAUCCUGGCUAACAUGGUGAAACCCCAUCUCUACUAAAAAUACAAAAAAAUUAGCCGAGUGUGGUGGCGGGCGCAUGUAGCCCCAGCUACUCAGUAGGCUGAGGCAGGAGAAUGGCAUGAACCCAGGAGGCGGAGCUUGCAGUGAGCUGAGAUCGCACCACUGCACUCCAGCCUGGGAGAUAGAGCGAGACUCCGUCUCAAAAAAUAAACAAAAAAAAAGCUCUUUAAAGGAAACGUGCCCGGCACGGUGGCUCACGCCUGUAAUCCUAGCACUUUGGGAGGCUGAGGCAGGUGGAUCACCUGAGGUCCGGAGUUCGAGACCAGCCUGACCAACAUGGAGAAACCCCGUCUCUACUAAAAAUACAAAAAUUAGCCGGGCGUGGUGGCACAUGCCUGUAAUCCCAGCUACUCAGGAGGCUGAGGCAGGUGAAUCACUUGAACCCAGGAGGCAGAGGUUGCUGUGAGCCGAGAUCGCGCCAUUGCACUCCAGCCUGGGCAACAAGAGCGAAACUCCGUCUCAAAAAAAU
rnacentral:lncRNA from 10 species